AGCCACGAUAUAUACUAUUCUACCACAGGUCCAAAGCAACAGUGCCAAGAGACCCUGGAUUGAAACCUUUGCAACUGCAUGUUGAGACUAAGGGAGUCAUUUCUAAUGCCUGGUAAACACAGGAGACAGGGAGCCCAUGAACUGCUUUGAGCUGAUCUCACCUGGACAGAUGUGAUGUACUGGAGGCUAGCUGUGUAUGGCACAGUCCUCUCUUGAGGGUGCUGUGUUGUCUGGCAGCCAUGAAUCUCAUCUCCCAGGGAGCCUGGAGAGGUGGAGAUCACGAGGAAACCAGCUAAUGCUCUGCCAUGCACUCUGUACUAAACUGGGAAGUGAAGCAGACAAGUUCACCAGAGAAGACAUCACAGAUUGGGUUCUGAGUAUCUGCUUUCUGCCACAUGAGAGACUGGUUCCUUCUCAUCUUUUUCAUCACUUGGUUUCAUUUGGUAUAUCUCUUGGGAGCUGGCAUUCAGAUGUUCCACAGGAUUCUGUCUGUGCCCAGACACCAUCAUGGCUCCUACACUGCCUUAAAAGGCCACAUUGGCACUUGGGCAAUGAUAUUUGAAUUUAACCCUUGAGUGCAGACAUUUACCCAAGUUUCUAAGUACCGUAACCAGCUUCCUAAUGGACUGCUCUGCCUAGAUGACUCAUAGGGUCCUGGAACUCAGUGUAUCAAAAGUUGCUCUCAUCACUUAUCGCUAGACAUUAUCUAACUCAUUUCAUGGCCUCAGCAUCUACUCAGGC